rnacentral:tmRNA from 1 species
GGGGCCGAAAUAGGAUCGACGGACGUGUAAAGACUUGUAUUUCGUUCGAAUGGGCCCCGUUAGAAGCCCAAUCGCAAAUAGUUGCAAAUGACAACUUUGCUGAAGGUGAGCUUCUCGCAGCGUAAGCUGUGCGAACAAACCGCAUAAACUCCUAGGGACUUUUAGCACUCUAGGCGGGGUUCGGAAGCACCUGGCAACAGAAGCUUCCACU